CUGAGAUAGAUGAUGAUGUUUUGGAGGAAAUUGUGAAGGAUCCAUCCACUGGGGUACUAACCAUCAAAUACGAAACAGAAUCUGUCUCCAAAGUCCCAAUCAUCCGUUUGUUCAUGGGACUCAGACACAAUCAUCCUUGAAGACACUCCUACCAGAAAGCGUGAGAGGCUGGACUCUGAAGCUGUGCAACUGGUGAAAUCCAUUCUUACCAAGAAAUCGGGUGGAGAAUAUAUAAUAAUUGAAUACAACCGAACUAAGUCCUUGACAGAUGAGAGCAGAAGAAAAUUGGUGAAUAUACUGGCAGCUGAGAUGACGGAGAAGAAUGGUACAUCUCCAUCUAGACAGGUGAAGGAAAUGUAUGCACAAGGAAUUGUGAACUUGUUCCCCAACCUCAGAGACCCAUUUUCCAAGAAUGGCUAUGAACAUUUUUAUGAUAGCAACAGUGGUACUGGGUACUUGUCCUGGAGAAUUACAACUAUUCAGAGAUGCAGUGCUAAAGAAAGGCGAUCAUCAUUUGGAG